AUAUAAUUAAGCGGAGGAAAAGAAACCAACUGGGAUUUCCAUACUAGCGGCGAGCGAAAUGGAAUCAGCCCGAGGUGUGAAUCGAGUUGCUUGCAGCUCGAGUUGUGCACCAUGACCAACGCCAGACUGAUAUUGUAUCUAAGAUGUCUGCAAAGACAUGCCAUAGAAGGUGAUAGCCCUGUCUUUGGUACGCAUAUCAGUUGUACGGUGAAGGUUGCAUAUGAGUCACGCUCUUUGGGAGUAGAGCGCAAAUUGGGUGGUAACCUCCAUCCGUGGCUAAAUAUUGACGAGAGACCGAUAGCGCACAAGUA
rnacentral:rRNA from 1 species